rnacentral:rRNA from 1 species
UACGGAAGGCAGCAGUGGGGAAUAUUGCACAAUGGGCGCAAGCCUGAUGCAGCCAUGCCGCGUGUAUGAAGAAGGCCUUCGGGUUGUAAAGUACUUUCAGUCGUGAGGAAGGUGUUAAGGUUAAUAACCUUAGCAAUUGACGUUAGCGACAGAAGAAGCACCGGCUAACUCCGUGCCAGCAGCCGCGGUAAUACGGAGGGUGCGAGCGUUAAUCGGAAUUACUGGGCGUAAAGGGCACGCAGGCGGUUAAUUAAGUUGGAUGUGAAAUCCCCGGGCUUAACCUGGGAAUGGCAUUCAAGACUGGUUAGCUAGAGUCUUGUAGAGGGGGUUAGAAUUCCAUGUGUAGCGGUGAAAUGCGUAGAGAUGUGGAGGAAUACCGGUGGCGAAGGCGGCCCCUGGACAAAGACUGACGCUCAUGUGCGAAAGCGUGGGGAGCGAAACAGGGAUUUAGAU